rnacentral:rRNA from 1 species
GACGAACGCUGGCGGCGUGCUUUAGGCAUGCAAGUCGAACGCGAAAGCCCCUUCGGGGGUGAGUAGAGUGGCGAACGGGUGAGUAACACGUGGGUAACCUGCCCCUCGCAGGGGGAUAACCGGGGGAAACCCCGGCUAAUACCCCGUACGCUUGCUGGGGCGCAUGCUCCGGCAAGGAAAGGUAGCUUCGGCCAUCCGGCGAGGGAGGGGCCCGCGGCCCAUUAGCUAGUUGGUGGGGUAACGGCCCACCAAGGCGACGAUGGGUAGCUGGCCUGAGAGGGGGGUCAGCCACACUGGGACUGAGACACGGCCCAGACUCCUACGGGAGGCAGCAGCCAGGAAUCUUGCGCAAUGGGCGAAAGCCUGACGCAGCAACGCCGCGUGGGCGAUGAAGGCCUUCGGGUCGUAAAGCCCUGUUGUCGGGGACGAAGGGCGAAGGGUUAAUAGCCCCUAGCCUGACGGUACCCGACGAGGAAGCCCCGGCUAACUACGUG